GUGUUUUGAUCAUUUGAAGGUAGCCCCCUUUUGUGGAGUACUGUUCACUCGUGAAGGGAGGGGCUUCGUUUCCGAGGCAGCCACUAGGUCCAUCCAAGCGGACGUCGCUUGUGCCACUACCAUCGCCCGCCCUUGCACACACGCCCACACUGAUGGACGCACCUCGACGUUGUGGCAAACACCGUCAGCCACGACAUCCUCUUCUUCUUCCUCGUCGUAGCGACCAACCACUACCACCGGUGAGGCAUGCCCCUAUCUCUCCUUCUCGUUGAGCUCUCGAUGCCUCACCUCCUCACCGACACGCCGACAAUCCACGCACACUUUGUUGCCUCCUUUCUCAUGUCGCAAGGCUGCAGGCAUCAUCUCCUACGCCAGCUAGCUAUUGCCUUCGUCGGAGGCCUUGCCGUCGCCUCUCGUCCUACCCCUUUCUCGUCCAUCGUCGGCCAUUGCUGCCUCAGUUUCUGCCACCUCCGGCGACCUUUGCCUCCCUCACCGCUUCUAGCAAGCACCCCAAACCGCUAUUAGUGGGCGCUGGCCACCUCCCUCAUCGCUCGUUGGUAAUCGCAACUGCCCCGUCGCCUCUAGUGGUCGUCGGCUCUGCGUCGCUGCCCUCUGGAUCGCCAACUUCAUUAGCCACGAUUCUCCCUUUCUAUCGGGACAGAUCGGAGCGUGUUCCACAUCCGUUGUGUUCUAGUCUUUGCAUCAUUAUUAUGUUCCGGCCUACAAGCCAUGGUUGUAUUCCGGACUGUCUGCUUUGUGUCUAGCCUUCGAGUUGUUGUUAAAUCCCGGACUGUGUGCCAAUGUCCUAUCCCGGACUGCAUGAUGAUGUCCUAUCUUGGCCUAUGUACUCAUCUCAUAUCUCGGUCUACGUGUCGAUCUCAUAUCUCGGCUUGCGCGCCGAUGUCAUAUCCCGGCCAGCGUGGCACGGCUAGGUUCCGGCCUGCAUGUCGUCUUCUGAAUUCAGACUGCGCUUAACUAGGUGCUGUCAGAUCUAGCUCUUUAUCCUGCUCAGAGUCAUCUACUCUUCCGGGUCACGACAACUCAAGUAACAUCCCGACCAGUUCACCGAUCCACCUAUGGACGCCCCCUUGGGCCAAGGUAUGUUAUUGUACUCACUUUACAUGCACACUACAACAAAAAUGACUUUCUACAGCACGUCAUCAACGGCGCACAAUUAAGACGUGUCGUUAAUACUAGUUUUUACGGCUCACCCAAUCAAGUACGUUGCGAAUAGUAUUAUAUUUAUACAAAUAACAGCGUGCAAAAAAUUACACGCUGUUAAAAAUAAAUAUUAACAACAUACUUUUUACAUGCUAUUAAAACUAUUACAAAUUUUAAAAAUUAAAAUUUUAAAAACAUACAAAAUAUACUAUUAAAAAUAUUAUAAAUUAAAAUUUUAACAGCAUACACAACAAAUAUGCUGUUAAAAGUUUUAUGUAACUUUUCGCGGCACGUCCUCUACAGCACGCUGUUAAUAAUCUUAAAAGUUUUGGGAUUUAAUCGUGUCCGACGCCGUAUCUCAUCACGAUCCCGCACCUUUAUUUUUCUUGUUAACCUAAGCUUUCCCUUCCCGCAACGUCGCCUUUCCUCUCCGCAGCACAACAUGAUUUCUUCCAUCGCCGACAAAGAGGCCGCCGACAAAGAGGCAGGCGACAAGGUUGAGGGUCGGCUGCUCGAGAGGUGGCCAGUGAGGCAACGAGCGGUUGUUGCCUGCCUCCUUGUCGACGGCCUCCUCCCAUCGUAGCACGAUCUUCACCAGUCACCUACGCGAUGCAGCCGUUGCCUAGACUCGCUUGUAGGCGGUUCGCAAACGGCUACUUGAACGCCUAGCUUCCUCCGCCACUCAGGGAUUAGCACCGUCAAUUACAUGUUGAAUACAAUCACUUAAUCAGUUACUCAGCGAAACUGAGUUACGGGCGCGAAUCUUUGAUGGCUUCAGAAGUUUGUUCAUGGGUUCACCUAACAUGAACACAUUAGUUGGUUUAGGUGCUUUAUCAUCCUUUGCAGUCAGUUCAAUUGCUGCCUUAAUUCCAAAACUGGUAUUUACAAUCUUAUACGGGAAGAUGCUUUAAUUUAUUACGUUUGUUGCUAUACAUGCAUCUGCUUGUUGACCAUGCUCCUUAUCAACAUGUUUUAAUGGUUAUAAAAAAUGUUGUUUGAUUAUGUCAUAGCAACAAAAGAGGCGGGGAGGAAUGGGGAUGCACAAAUUAAACAAAGGACGGCGAUGUGAGACACAACAAAUUGUAAGGGUAGGGGUGCAGGGAGUGGUAGACUUGUUGAUGCCCAGAAAAUGAGGCUUCAAUAUCAAACCAGUGACUACACUUUGUACGCAUAUAACUCCAAAUUAACCUAACUAUAUUAGUGACUAUCAAUAUCUGAUUAUCAUUUUAGUGACAAAUUAAUAACAAAAUGAUAAUAUCAAUUUAGAUUGGUCUGAAGAAAUUGAAAAAUUAUAUUUGUUUUUUUAUUAGUAAAACUGUAGGACUUUGCUAGUGUGUUGAUGGCAACAGUAUGCCAAACGAAGUGUUCCAUACUAUGUCAAAACAUGGAUAUAUCAUAGUAUUUUGCUUAGGAGCAAGCAAGGCAGCUGCUUGUUUUAUGUUGCUGUGGUGAAAAAAAUUCUUCUUAAUGCUAGUUUGAUUAGAAUGCAUGAUGACAGAAGUACAUAUUAUGAUGCAUAACAAGGCUAUAAUACUACUUGGCAUUUCCAGUGAGCAUUGAUAUUGUACUUUUUUGAAUAUUUGAAUAUUGUACUUUUAAAUGUUGGAGAAUAUUUAAAAGGUAGCCGUUCCUUUCCUUUCGCCCGUAAGUGAUUGUAUUCAACAUGUAAAUAUGUUGGAGAAUAUUUUGUAUUCUUACUUAUAUUUUGAAUUUUGAUACUUGCUAAUAUAUCUAGAUUCACUAACAUAUACACUUUCACUUAUAUUUGCAAAUUAUAUUUGAAUGAUGUUUGAGGAAUGACUUUUUAGUCGAUAAUGCAUUGGUCUUAGAAUGCAUUGAUUUGGUAUUUAUCCAAGACAUAUUAUCUAUUGUUUGCUCUGUUCUGUCCAAAUAAACUUUCAAUUUCUUCAAAAUACAGUCAGAUUAAUUUUUAGAAUUCAUUGGUUAUUCUUUUGAGAUUUUUUCUCUCCUCGUUUUGAUGGCUAAUAUAUGACUCUAAGCUUACCAAUUCUUCCAUAAAGCCUUUCAUUCCAUUCAAAGGGAUGGCAAACAUCAUCCACAAGUGAUGUGGAAUGUGAAUGAGAAGAAUUUUAUGCUUCACUUGGCUUCAUCCUGAUUUGUGCUACUCAUUGUUAUAGAUUUAGUGAAAACACUGUUUACAAGUAAAUUGCUUGGAUUGUUAUUGUAAGUACGUUUCAUCAGUUGCAUUGGAAUACCCUUACUAUCUGUAUGCAAGCAUGAUUCAAGGUGUACACAUUGCUAAAAUCACUUGAGCAUCCAAAGGGAUGAAAAUGACUUGUAUUUUAAUGCAUGAAACAGGUGUCUUGGUGGGUUAUAACGUAAUACAUGAAAUAGAUUUCUUGGUGCGUCGAUUGCUUGAAUUUGUGAGACGGGAUUCAGAUGACAUUCCAAUCCAGGUAGUGAAGUUUCACUUACUCUUUUCAUUUAUCCCACAUAAUUGGUUUAGCACAUUGAAAUUUUCAAACAUGCUUGGUUGUAGCACUGCAUUGUGCUUCACACACCUGAUAUAAUGUGGCUCUAUAAUAUGUUUCUGUUGUGCUCAACCACAAGCAGUUGAAGUUGUUGUUGCUACAAAAUUGACUUAAAGAAUUAUUAGAAAUUAAAAAAAAUAGUAAGCAUGCAAUAUUUAUUUCUGUUCUGUAUACCUUGAAAUGAGUACCUAUGCAGGAGAAUUAGGAUCAUUUUGAAGCUACUAUCUCAUCUUCUAAAGGAAAGGGAUUUGCUACAAAAGAACAUUUUGAAGCAUUUACUAGAGCUAGCUUGUUGCUCUUCAACAACAUAUUCUCUCUUCUUAUUGAGGAACUGAUUAAUUUGCAUGCUCUCUAGCCGAGGAAUCUUUGCCUACUCCGACAACUAGUCAAUCACCAUGCUCUCGGCCUUUUACGAUUUAAUGUUGUAAUUCCCUUGCAUCAGUUGAUUUCAAUUGUGCCCUCUACAAACAAAAUAAAUUCUGUCGAAAAGUAUAUUCAGGUCGAUAAUCAUGAAUUCUGGUUCAUGGGGUUUCUGAACUAUGACACGGUUGUGCGUCGUCAGCACGAAGCUUUGCGCCAUAUGCAAAAGGAAGCAUCGCCGCGACGGUAGAUCUAGAUGUUCCAACUAUGUAACUUUUGUACUGAGCAAUAGACUUAGGGUCUUUCUUUGGUUCAUGUUAAUAUUUAUAUUGUUGUUUAGAGAAAUUGAUGAGCUUUGUAAAAUGAUUAUUAGAUGAAUAAAAAUUAUGUAUUCAUAUUUUGAUUUUA